rnacentral:lncRNA from 1 species
GGGAUUUUAAGUCACUUCUGUUGCCUAAAUCCCUAUUUUCCUUUCUGAUCCCUUGUGAUGCUACUCCAAAAUCCAUCCCCUGAGGAAAGGCUGGAACCAAAAGACAGAGCUGCUUCAGGUUGGAACCCAAAAUGCUGGAGCUGUUCCAGCAUGAAAAGCACGGCGCUAAAUCCAUGGGAAGGGGUAGAAGUUGAGUGUGGCACCAUCUCUGCUGAACUAGAGAAACUUUCUGCAAUGAAUUGCUCAAUCACUUCAUUUGGAAGAAGAGCAACUGCUAUCAGCUCUAAUUGGCUCCCAGAACCCAGGAAUGCUUCCCUGCUAGAAAAUGAUACCACAGAGAAUCCAAAAGUGGCUCCUGGUUCUGGUCCAUGGCCUGACCUCCCUCUUCCCAGAACUGUGGCUUUGAGAUGCCCCAGGUGGAGUAGUGGCCCUGUGGGAGCAGGAGCUGCUGCCUCAGUCGGAGAUGUCUUCAUGACUUGCGGGGCAAGUUUGUCAGAGCUCUCCUUUCACAGUUAAAGGUUAAUAAAGGCUCAUGUGGCUGUGCA